rnacentral:lncRNA from 1 species
CUCCCACGUCCAUCAUCACGCCACCAGAUCCCGGCCCCAGAGCCCGAUGUCGCCCGUCUUUUCCGUCCCUUCAGCCACAGUUGCGCCGCCUGGUCGCCGCUACACGACGAUUCCUCCACCGCCAACCCCGACCGCGGCCGCGACAGUUCCUUUCCCCCGCUCUGUCAGAAGCCGCCCGACAAUCUGUUGUUCCGCGCUCUCCCCCGCGCCCGCGUCCGCCUG